rnacentral:lncRNA from 1 species
UGAAUAGCCCAGUCCUUCCACGUUACAGAAGCGCAAAUGAGAGGAAAACGUCAUUCAGGAGGGAAUGAAGCCCGUUACCUCUGCCAAAGAAUAGGACCACUUAAGUAUUUGGAUGGUUAUGCUGCUUCAGCCUGACCACAAGGCAAUGCAGAGGUGCCAGAUCUCUGACAGCUAACCUGACUGUUGAAAGGGAGGUUUAUUGGUCUGAGACUUCCACCACAGGGAGUGGCUGCUGUAUGGAAUUGAUAAACGCAGAGAUUUAUAAGGUCAAGUUUUAUGAGUCUACAGAUUCCUUGCGGUGUAUUACCACAUCCUUAUUACAAGCUCCGGCGGCUGUCCAGCUAAGCCACCAGAGGACAAAUGUUUGUGUUCUGUGAUUUCUGAGAUGACUGGAGAGUCAGGAGCUUGGA